GCCCAGCGCGGUGGCGUGUGCCUGUAGUCCCAGCUACUCGGGAGGCUGAGGUGGGAGGAUUGCUUGAGCCCAGGAGUUCUGGGCUGUAGUAUGCUAUGCUGAUUGGGUGUCCACACGAAGUUUGGCAUCAAUAUGGUGACCUCCUGGGAUUGGGGGACCAGCAGGUUGCCUAAGGAGGGGUGAAGCGGCCCAGGUCGGAAACGGAGCAGGUCAAAACUCCCGUGCUGAUCAGUAGUGGGAUCGCGCCUGUGAGUAGCCACUGCACUUCAGCCUGGGCAACAUAGCGAGACCCCCCGUGU
rnacentral:SRP_RNA from 1 species